rnacentral:lncRNA from 1 species
GAUAAGGGGUUUCCGAAUGGGACACCUGGAAAAGUGAAAACAUUUGAAAUAUAAAUAAACAAAUAUCCAGUACAAAAAAAAAAAGAAAGAAAGAAAAAAUAUGGGUUGAUGAGAUGGCUCAGCAGGUAAGAGCACUGAGUGCUCUUCUGAAGGUUCUGAGUUCAAAUGCCAGCAACCACAUGGUGGCUCACAACCACCUAUAAUAAGAUCUGACACUCUCUUCUGGUGUGUCUAAAGAGAGCUACAGUGGUCUUAUGAAUAAUAAAAAAUAAAUCUUUUUAAAAAUGCUUAAAAUAAAGAAAAAUUUUUUGAAUUUGUCUUUAAGGUCUAUGUUUAAAAGAGAGGAAGAGAAACUGACUCAAAAAUGUAAUUUGAUACUUUACUUUUUUUGUUGUUGUUGUUUUUAGAUAGAUUCUCCUAUAGCUCAGGCUGGUCUCAUACUCACUAUGCAGUAGAGGUUGUCCUCGAAUGUCUGACCUUCUUGCUUUACCUCCUAAUUUCUAGGAGUAUAAACCUUAUAGACCUUCAUAACACACUCAGAAACCUCAACUUUUUAAAUAAAAAAUGUUUUUAAUAACCUGAAAUCAUUGCCUUGUCCUUUUGACUUUCAAGGUUUAUUACCAGUUUUCAGAAAAAAUAGCCUGAAAACAUUCUGUGUUUCAAAGUUAUGAUGGAUAACUUUGGUUAAAAGAAUCUUAGAAGAAAAAUAAAAGCAGUACUGGAUAGUCUGGUUCUUUCCACCUAAGUUCCAGCUUUCUGCAACCGUGGAUGCAGCCAGAUUAAGAGGGCAAUGGAAGGUGAGAGUGCACUUGAAUUCAGCAGUGUCCUUGCAGCUCUGUUCUUUGUACCACUCGAUGUUUAAAAGAAGAAGAAGAGGAAGGAGGAGGGGGAGGAGAAUGAGGAGGAAAAGAGGAAGAAGAAGAGGAAAAAGAAAAGGAAGAGGAAGAGGAGGAAGAGGAAGAAGAAGAAGAAGAACAAGAACAACAAGAAGAAGAAGAACAAGAAGAAGAACAACAACAACAACAAGAGGAAGAGGAAGAACAAGAAGAGGAACAGGAACAGGAAGAGGAAGAACAAGAACAAGAAGAACAAGAAAAAGAAGAACAAGAAGAAGAAGAAGAAGAAG